rnacentral:rRNA from 1 species
CCUACGGGUGGCAGCAGUGAGGAAUAUUUGUCAAUGGGCGGGAGCCUGACCCAGCCAAGCCGCGUGAAGGAAGAAGGCGCCAAGCGUCGUAAACUUCUUUUGUCGUGGAACACAGGGCGCCACGUGUGGCGUUGUGAGUGUACCCGAAGAAAAAGCAUCGGCUAACUCCGUGCCAGCAGCCGCGGUAGUACUGAGGAUGCGAGGGUUAUCCGGAUUUAUUGGGUUUAAGGGGUGCGUAGGCGGUCAGGAAAGUCCGCGUGAAAAGCCCGGGGCUCAAACACAGCGAGCCGUUGAAACUGUCGGACUAGAGACGGCGAGAAGUACGCGGAAUGCGCGGUGUAGCGGUGAAAUGCAUAGAUAUCGCGCAGAACGCCGAUUGAGAAGGCAGCGUACCGGCGCCGGACUGACGCUGAGGCACGAAAGCGUGGGUAUCGAACAGGAUUAGAUACCCUUGUAGUC